rnacentral:lncRNA from 1 species
CUGAGGUUCUAGGAGCUGUGCAUGUUGAAAGAGCUGCAUGCUGAGGAAGAGUUGCAAAGUGAAGUGGGGCAUAGGCUCUGUGGGUUUUGCUUUGAUGGAGUGGUCUUGGCAAGAGAUCCUGUGAAUGGUGCCGCACCCCCUUAAUCCCAGCGCUUGGGAAGCAGAAGCAGAUCUGUGACUUCAAGGCCAGCCUGGUCUACAGCAUGAGUUCCAGCCAAGCAAAAGCUACAUGGUGGAGAAGUAAGAGACAAGGAAGGCCACUGGGGAUGAAAGACCAGCUCCCUGGUCAAGGAACAAGACAUGAAUAAGACUUGGGAGACCACGGUGUCUCUUGUAACCUGCGGCAUAUCCUGUUUCCUGCAUUCCUCAUGUGACCAUCAGGGCCCUGGCUUCUUGGCCUUCUCUGUGACCAGAAAUCACCUGUCCAUAACAGAAUCUGUCUACCAUCACCAUCUUUUCAGUUGACAAGAAAGUCAAUGGAGCAAUUUUAGACAGACAAGCCACCCAGUGCCACCAUCAGAAUGUCAGGUUUGCAACCUGUAAAACGCAAAUGCCCACUUCUUCACCAGCCCCCAAGCCCCUCCACACUCCACCUCUGGCUCAGUUUGUCUUUGGGGGACUAGCUCACUGUGGGACCUAAUUAAUGAGUUCUUCUCUGUCAGAGUACAACCACUCCAGCCCUUGUGCUAUCCAGGUAGCUCUCCUCUGUUGAGUCAAUGCUUGCCUUGAGUUCACUCAGAUUUCAACAUUGGCUACACUGUCUCGAAGAUCUGACAUCUUUAUUCAGACAUGAGUCAAUCAUGAAGAGGGGAUGGAAACAGAAGUCCUUCCAGGAAGAAAACUAUCUGGAUAGAAAUUGUUCCAUUUGAUGACUGCAGUAGAAGAUGAGGCUCGGAGAGCCUGGGCAGGGAAACAGGAGGAGAAGGAGGGGAGGAGACCAGAGAAGUAGUGAAUACUUUAUCCUCUAACCUUCCCUUUCCUUUCUCCCCUUUCUCUCCAUGCAGUAGGCAAAAUCCUCAUUGUUUCCUGUAGUCUGUGACAUCUUGGGGUCAUUGGGGGACCAAGUUCUUUGAUGUGUCUUGAAGUGAUGUAGCCAAGAAGAAACAGUGAGUUUGAGUCCCAGCAACCACACUGUGGCUCACAACCACCUAUAAUGAGAUCUGGUGCCCUCUUCUGGCCUGCAUAUGUACCUUCCAGAGACCAUGCAGAGUUAGGAUUUGGACUAAGUGCAGUCAGAUUGG